GAUGAAGAACGUAGCGAAAUGCGAUAAGUAAUGUGAAUUGCAGAAUUCAGUGAAUCAUCGAAUCUUUGAACGCACAUUGCGCCCGCCAGUAUUCUGGCGGGCAUGCCUGUUCGAGCGUCAUUUCAACCAUCAAGCCCCAGGCUUGUGUUGGAGCCCUGCGGCUGCCGCAGCCUCCCAAAACCAGUGGCGGGCUCGCUAUCACACCGAGUGCAGUAGUUUACUCUUCGCUCAGGGCGUGUGGCGGGUGCUAGCCGUAAAACCCCCAACUUCUCAAGGUUGACCUCGGAUCAGGUAGGAAUACCCGCUGAACUUAAGCAUAUCAUAAGCGGAGGA
rnacentral:misc_RNA from 1 species